rnacentral:misc_RNA from 1 species
GAUGAAGAACGUAUCGAAAUGCGAUAAGUAAUGUGAAUUGCAGAAUUCAGUGAAUCAUCGAAUCUUUGAACGCACAUUGCGCCCGCCAGUAUUCUGGCGGGCAUGCCUGUUCGAGCGUCAUUACAACCCUCAGGCCCCCGGGCCUGGCGUUGGGGAUCGGCGGAGCCCCCCGUGGGCACACGCCGUCCCCCAAAUGCAGUGGCGGUCCCGCCGCAGCUUCCAUCGCGUAGUAGCUAACACCUCGCGACUGGAGAGCGGCGCGGCCACGCCGUAAAACACCCAACUCUUCUGAAGUUGACCUCGAAUCAGGUAGGAAUACCCGCUGAACUUAAGCAUAUCAAUAAGCGGAGGA